rnacentral:misc_RNA from 1 species
AGUUUUGAAGCACAAAAUCGGCACUUUGGAAGGGAUGUUAUUGGAGGGCAACUUUUGCAUGAUUUUGUUGGUUGAAGAGGUUUGAUGUGAGGAACAGUCUGAGCAUCAGUAUUCAUGCUAACAGCUUUAUUCCAGAUGUGCUUUUGUUGACUAUCAGAGCCCAACUUCAAACAAAAUGGUCAAAUGCUAGCCCUCAUGGUGUAACAAGGUAUGUUCAUUACAUUACAGUGUAUGUGAUCUCUUAAUAUUGUGCCUAAAAGAAGGAUUGGUGUAAAAUUCUUCUGUAAAUGUAUAAUUAAAUGUGAAGAAAUGAUACCUUGGUGGCAAAAUCAUCAGUAGACUGGUAUUAGAUAGUGGAUUCCAAUGUGAGCUUUCAUUCAC